AGAAUCAAGGAUAUACUUCAGCAGAUGGUUAUAGGAGAGUGUUCAUACUCAGCUUACUUGGGAGAAUCAGUAGAAGAUGGUGUAUCUCAAGUUGUUUUGUGUGUGUCUUGGUGAUCCGUGGGAGGUUCAUUUGAAGACUCAAGAGUGAAUCUGUGUUCUAGAGAGCAGCGUGGGUUCUCAGUACAAGAUCUAACCGGUUGUUCAAGCUAUAGACGUCAAGCUGUUCAAGAUGGAGAGUGG
rnacentral:lncRNA from 1 species